GUUACCCAAAAAAUGAAUUUAAGUUCAAUUUUAAACUUGCUAAAAAAAUAACAAAAUCAAAAAGUAAGUUUAAAUUAUAGCCAAAAGAGGGACAGCUCUUCUGGAACGGAAAAAACCUUUAAUAGUGAAUAAUUAACAGAACAACUUUUAACCAUUGUAGGCCUAAAAGCAGCCACCAACAAAGAAAGCGUUCAAGCUCAACAUAAAAUUUCAAUUAAUUCCAUAACUUACACCAACUUCCUAAAAUUAAAAUUGGGUUAAUCUAUAACUUUAUAGAUGCAACACUGUUAGUAUGAGUAACAAGAAUUCUAAUUCUCCAGGCAUACACAUAUAACAACUCGGAUAACCAUUGUUAGUUAAUCAGACUAUAGGCAAUAAUCACACUAUAAAUAAUUCACCUAUAACUUCUCUGUUAACCCAACACCGGAAUGCCUAAAGGAAAGAUCUAAAAAGAUAAAAGGAACUCGGCAAACAAGAACCCCGCCUGUUUACCAAAAACAUCACCUCUAGCAUUACAAGUAUUAGAGGCACUGCCUGCCCAGUGACUAAAGUUUAACGGCCGCGGUAUCCUG
rnacentral:rRNA from 1 species